AAUAAAAUGACUGAUUAAAGUGGUAGAUUGUAAGUCUAUUAAUAAAUAUUUUUUAUAUAUUUUUUUAUUU
rnacentral:tRNA from 1 species